AUGUCACUGCCUUAUGCUUUCUUGAUGCAGGAAAAAUUUAACCAUUAUGGGAAAUGUUUGGAUCAGUUUGCAGCAGGUUUUAGACUAUUGGUAGGCUGCUGCUUGGACUUACUUGCGUGUUGUAGCAUGGCUGGAAAUUUGACAGCUUUUACACAGUUUUGGGACUGUUUUGAUGAGAAUUAUGGCGUGUUUUGUGACAGUUUUUGGCAGCAUUGUAGCAGAGUUUUGGACUAUUGGAGCAGGGUUGUUUUUUGGCAGCAGCAAUGGACAACAACAAGGCUUAACAAGGCAUGGAAAAUUCUGCAUGAAGCACACAAGGAGGAUGGUCUUGGUUUGUGUUAUUUUGGCAUGUUUUUAUGUAACAAUAAAGUUGUAAUAGUGAUGAUUUGGAAUUGA